GACGAACGCUGGCGGCGUGCUUAACACAUGCAAGUCGAACGGUAAGGCCCUUCGGGGUACACGAGUGGCGAACGGGUGAGUAACACGUGGGUGAUCUGCCCUGCACUUCGGGAUAAGCCUGGGAAACUGGGUCUAAUACCGGAUAGGACCACUGCCUGCAUGGGUGGUGGUGGAAAGCUUUUGCGGUGUGGGAUGGGCCCGCGGUCUAUCAGCUUGUUGGUGGGGUGAUGGCCUACCAAGGCGACGACGGGUAGCCGGCCUGAGAGGGUGACCGGCCACACUGGGACUGAGAUACGGCCCAGACGCCUACGGGAGGCAGCAGUGGGGAAUAUUGCACAAUGGGCGCAAGCCGGAUGCAGCGACGCCGCGUGAGGGAUGACGGCCUUCGGGUUGUAAACCUCUUUCAGCACCGACGAAGCGCAAGUGACGGUAGGUGCAGAAGAAGGACCGGCCAACUACGUGCCAGCCGCCGCCGUAA
rnacentral:rRNA from 1 species